rnacentral:rRNA from 1 species
GAGUGAAGAAGGGUUUCGGCUCGUAAAACUCUGUUGUUAAAGAAGAACAUAUCUGAGAGUAACUGUUCAGGUAUUGACGGUAUUUAACCAGAAAGCCACGGCUAACUACGUGCCAGCAGCCGCGGUAAUACGUAGGUGGCAAGCGUUGUCCGGAUUUAUUGGGCGUAAAGCGAGCGCAGGCGGUUUUUUAAGUCUGAUGUGAAAGCCUUCGGCUCAACCGAAGAAGUGCAUCGGAAACUGGGAAACUUGAGUGCAGAAGAGGACAGUGGAACUCCAUGUGUAGCGGUGAAAUGCGUAGAUAUAUGGAAGAACACCAGUGGCGAAGGCGGCUGUCUGGUCUGUAACUGACGCUGAGGCUCGAAAGUAUGGGUAGCAAACAGGAUUAGAUACCCUGGUAGUCCAUACCGUAAACGAUGAAUGCUAAGUGUUGGAGGGUUUCCGCCCUUCAGUGCUGCAGCUAACGCAUUAAGCAUUCCGCCUGGGGAGUACGGCCGCAAGGCUGAAACUCAAAGGAAUUGACGGGGGCCCGCACAAGCGGUGGAGCAUGUGGUUUAAUUCGAAGCUACGCGAAGAACCUUACCAGGUCUUGACAUACUAUGCAAAUCUAAGAGAUUAGACGUUCCCUUCGGGGACAUGGAUACAGGUGGUGCAUGGUUGUCGUCAGCUCGUGUCGUGAGAUGUUGGGUUAAGUCCCGCAACGAGCGCAACCCUUAUUAUCAGUUGCCAGCAUUAAGUUGGGCACUCUGGUGAGACUGCCGGUGACAAACCGGAGGAAGGUGGGGAUGACGUCAAAUCAUCAUGCCCCUUAUGACCUGGGCUACACACGUGCUACAAUGGAUGGUACAACGAGUUGCGAACUCGCGAGAGUAAGCUAAUCUCUUAAAGCCAUUCUCAGUUCGGAUUGUAGGCUGCAACUCGCCUACAUGAAGUCGGAAUCGCUAGUAAUCGCGGAUCAGCAUGCCGCGGUGAAUACGUUCCCGGGCCUUGUACACACCGCCCGUCACACCAUGAGAGUUUGUAACACCCCAAAGUCGGUGGGGUAACCUUUUAGGAA